rnacentral:rRNA from 1 species
UCGAGCGGUAGAGAGAAGCUUGCUUCUCUUGAGAGCGGCGGACGGGUGAGUAAUACCUAGGAAUCUGCCUGGUAGUGGGGGAUAACGUUCGGAAACGGACGCUAAUACCGCAUACGUCCUACGGGAGAAAGCAGGGGACCUUCGGGCCUUGCGCUAUCAGAUGAGCCUAGGUCGGAUUAGCUAGUUGGUGAGGUAAUGGCUCACCAAGGCUACGAUCCGUAACUGGUCUGAGAGGAUGAUCAGUCACACUGGAACUGAGACACGGUCCAGACUCCUACGGGAGGCAGCAGUGGGGAAUAUUGGACAAUGGGCGAAAGCCUGAUCCAGCCAUGCCGCGUGUGUGAAGAAGGUCUUCGGAUUGUAAAGCACUUUAAGUUGGGAGGAAGGGCAGUUACCUAAUACGUGAUUGUCUUGACGUUACCGACAGAAUAAGCACCGGCUAACUCUGUGCCAGCAGCCGCGGUAAUACGGAGGGUGCAAGCGUUAAUCGGAAUUACUGGGCGUAAAGCGCGCGUAGGUGGUUUGUUAAGCUGAAUGUGAAAUCCCCGGGCUCAACCUGGGAACUGCAUCCAAAACUGGCAAGCUAGAGUAUGGUAGAGGGUAGUGGAAUUUCCUGUGUAGCGGUGAAAUGCGUAGAUAUAGGAAGGAACACCAGUGGCGAAGGCGACUACCUGGACUGAUACUGACACUGAGGUGCGAAAGCGUGGGGAGCAAAC